rnacentral:rRNA from 1 species
UGGGGAAUAUUGCGCAAUGGGGGCAACCCUGACGCAGCAACGCCGCGUGCGGGACGACGGCCUUCGGGUUGUAAACCGCUUUCAGCAGGGAAGAUAGUGACGGUACCUGCACAAGAAGCCCCGGCUAACUACGUGCCAGCAGCCGCGGUAAUACGUAGGGGGCGAGCGUUAUCCGGAUUCAUUGGGCGUAAAGCGCGCGCAGGCGGCUCUUCAAGCGGAACCUCUAACCCCGGGGCUCAACCUCGGGUCGGGUUCCGAACUGGAGGGCUUGAGUGGGGGAGAGGGAGGCGGAAUUCCCGGUGUAGGGGUGGAAUGGGGAGAUAUCGGGAAGAAAACCGAUGGCGAAGGCAGCCUGGUGGGCCGGCACUGACGCUGGGGCGCGAAAGGUAGGGGAGCGAACAGG